rnacentral:rRNA from 1 species
UACGAAGGGGGCGAGCGUUGUUCGGAUUUACUGGGCGUAAAGGGCGCGCAGGCGGCGCAUUUUGUCAGGCGUGAAAGCCCCGGGCUUAACCUGGGAACUGCGUUUGAUACGGAUGGGCUAGAGUUCGGGAGAGGAGAGUGGAAUUCCCAGUGUAGAGGUGAAAUUCGUAGAUAUUGGGAAGAACACCGGUGGCGAAGGCGGCUCUCUGGACCGAGACUGACGCUGAGGCGCGGAAAGCGUGGGGAGCAAACAGGG